rnacentral:lncRNA from 1 species
ACUAGAUGUCAACGAUCUUUAUAAAGUUGUUUGAAGCGUCUAUGAUAAACAGAGAGCAAAUUAGAAUCCAAGGAAGUUGACAUGUCAUCACUUCAUUUUUUUGCGCCUGCGCAUAAAUCUGAGAAACGUGAGUUUUGUCUUCAUUGUUUAUCUCGACAUAGGAUAGGUUGUGUGAAAAUAUUACUGAUGUUUAACGUUAAAAAUGGACCAAAAGAUUAAUGCUAAACAACAUUUGACAUGUUUGAACGAACAUAAAUAGAUUAUUUACUAGGUUUUUUUAGCUUUUCGGCGUGAUUUUACAGUCCCCCACCACGUUUUGUGGGAGCAUAAUGAACGCUAAGUACUUGGUGUUAUUUGGACAUAAAUUAUGAACUUUGUCAAAAGAAACCACAUUUGUUCCGGACCUGGGAUGCCUUCCGGACCUGGGAUGCCUGUCUUCUGAUGGAGAUAAUCAAAGGACCUGAGCCCUAGGACCAUGCCUCAGGACUACCUGGUAUGAUGACUCCUUGCUGUCCCCAGUCCACCUGGCCGUGCUGCUGCUCCAGUUUCAACUGUUCUGCCUGCGGCUAUGGAACCCUGACCUGUUCACCGGACGUGCUUGUUGCACCCUCGACAACUACUAUGAUUAUUAUUAUUUGACCAUGCUGGUCAUUUAUGAACAUUUUAACAUUUUAACAUCUUGACCAUGUUCUGUUAUAAUAUCCACCCUGCACAGCCAGAAGAGGACUGGCCACCCCUCAUAGCCUGGUUCCUCUCUAGGUUUCUUCCUAGGUUUUUGGCCUUUCUAGGGAGUUUUUCCUAGGGAAUUUUUCCUAGCCACCGUGCUUCUUUCACAUGCUUUGCUUGCUGUUUGGGGUUUUAGGCUGGGUUUCUGUACAGCACUUUGAGAUAUCAGCUGAUGUACGAAGGGCUAUAUAAAAAUAAAUUUGAUUGAUUUGAUUGAUUGUACAUUAUCUGUGAUUGGCUGUUUACUACAUGUACAUCUGCUAAUCGUUAGCUGUCUUAUCGGCUGCUAUCUGAAUAGGUCAAUCGGCCAAUUUUCUUGGGCCACAAUAACUAUAACUAUUUUGCCAAUUGGUUUGGUCCCCUCUACCACACGGAACCCCACUAAUCUACCGACGGAAACGCACGAGGUGGCUAAAAACAGACCAUCUUCCGCCAACUUGCUACCCAUGCCCCGGCUAGCUGUCUGAAUCGCCGUGACCGCAACCGAUCUCACUACACAAUGGACCCUUUUGAUCACUUGGCUAAGCAUGCCUCUCCUUAAUGUCAAUAUGCCUUGUCCAUUGCUGUUCUGGUUAGUGUUUAUUGGCUUAUUUCCCUGUAGAGCCUCUAGCCCUGCUCAUUAUACCUUAUCCAACCUCUCAGUUUUACCACCGACACAUGCGAUGACAUCACCUGGUUUCAAUUAUGUUUCUAGAGACAAUAUCUCUCUCAUCAUCACUCAAUGCCUAGGUUUACUUCCACUGUAUUCACAUCCUACCAUACCUUUGUCUGUACAUUAUACCUUGAAGCUAUUUUAUCGCCCCCAGAAACCUGCUCCUUAUACUCUCUGUUCCGGACGUCCUAGACGACCAAUUCUCAUAGCUUUUAGCCGUACCCUUAUCCUACUCCUCCUCUGUCCCUCUGGCGAUGUAGAGGUGAAUCCAGGCCCUGCAGUGCCUAGCUCCACUCCUAUUCCCCAGGCGCUCUCUUUUGAUGACUUCUGUAACCGUAAUAGCCUUGGUUUCAUGCAUGUUAACAUUAGAAGCCUCCUCCCUAAAUGUGUUUUAUUCACUGCUUUAGCACACUCUGCCAACCCGGAUGUCCUAGCCGUGUCUGAAUCCUGGCGUAGGAAGACCACCAAAAACUCUGAAAUCUCCAUCCCUAACUACAACAUUUUCAGACAAGAUAGAACGGCCAAGUGGGCGGUGUUGCAAUCUACUGCAGAGAUAGCCUGCAGAGUUCUGUCCUACUAUCCAGGUCUGUACCCAAACAAUUUGAACUUCUACUUUUAAAAAUCCACCUCUCUAAAAGCAAGUCUCUCACUGUUGCCGCCUGCUAUAGACCACCCUCUGCCCCCAGCUGUGCUCUGGACACCAUAUGUGAACUGAUUUCCCCCCCAACUAUCUUCAGAGCUCGUGCUGCUAGGUGACCUAAACUGGGACAUGCUUAACACUCCAGCCAUCCUACAAUCUAAGCUUGAUGCCCUCAAUCUCACACAAAUUAUCAAUGAACCUACCAGGUACCACCCCAAAGCCGUAAACACGGGCACCCUCAUAGAUAUCAUCCUAACCAACUUGCCCUCUAAAUACACCUCUGCUGUUUUCAACCAAGAUCUCAGCGAUCACUGCCUCAUUGCCUGCAUCCGUAAUGGGUCAGCGGUCAAAUGUCCUCCACUCAUCACUGUCAAAUGCUCCCUGAAACACUUCAGCAAGCAAGCCUUUCUAAUCGACCUGACCCGGGUAUCCUGGAAGGAUAUUGACCUCAUCCCUUCAGCAGAGGAGGCCUAGUUAUUUAAAAAAAUGCCUUCCUCACCAUCUUAAAUAAGCAUGCCCCAUUCAAAAAAUGUUGAACCAGGAACAGAUAUAGCCCUUGGUUCUCGCCAGACCUGACUGCCCUUAACCAACACAAAAACAUCCUGUGGCGUUCUGCAUUAGCAUCGAACAGCCCCCGUGAUAUGCACCUUUUCAGGAAAGUUAGAAACAAAUAUACACAGGCAGUUAGAAAAGCCAAGGCUAGCUUUUUCAAGCAGAAAUUUACUUCCUGCAACACAAACUCAAAAAAGUUCAGGGACACUGUAAAGUCCUUGGAGAAUAAGAGCACCUCCUCCCAGCUGCCCACUGCACUGAGGAUAGGAAACUCUGUCACCACCGAUAAAUUCACUAUAAUUUAGAAUUUCAAUAAGCAUUUUUCUACGGCUGGCCAUGCUUUCCACCUGGCUACCCCUACCCCGGUCAACAGCACUGCACCCCCCACAGCAACUCGCCCAAGCCUUCCCCAUUUCUCCUUCUCCCAAAUCCAUUCAUCUGAUGUUCUGAAAGAGCUGCAAAAUCUGGACCCCUACACAUCAGCCGGGCUAGACAAUCUGGACCCUCUCUUUCUAAAAUUAUCUGCCGAAAUUGUUGCAACCCCUAUUACUAGCCUGUUCAAACUCUCUUUCGUGUCAUCUGAGAUUCCCAAAGAUUGGAAAGCAGCUGCGGUCAUCCCCCUCUUCAAAGGGGGGGACACUCUUGACCCAAACUGCUACAGACCGAUAUCUAUCCUACCCUGCCUUUCUAAAGUAUUCGAAAGCCAAGUCAACAAACAGAUUACCGACCAUUUCGAAUCCCACCGCACCUUCUCCGCUAUGCAAUCUGGUUUCAGAGCUGGUCAUGGGUGCACCUCAGCCACGCUCAAGGUCCUAAACGAUAUCUUAACCGCCAUCAAUAAGAAGCAAUACUGUGCAGCCGUAUUCAUUGACCUGGCUAAGGCUUUCGACUCUGUCAAUCACCACAUCCUCAUCGGCAGACUCAAUAGCCUUGGUUUCUCAAAUGAUUGACUCGCCUGGUUCACCAACUACUUCUCUGAUAGAGUUCAGUGUGUCAAAUCGGAGGGCCUGUUGUCCGGGCCUCUGGCAGUCUCUAUGGGGGUGCCACAGGGUUCAAUUCUUGGGCCGACUCUUUUCUCUGUAUACAUCAAUGAUGUCGCUCUUGCUGCUGGUGAGUCUCUGAUCCACCUCUAAGCAGACGACAGCAUUCUGUAUACUUCUGGCCCUUCAUUGGACACUGUGUUAACUACCCUCCAGAUGAGCUUCAAUGCCAUACAACUCUCCUUCCGUGGCCUCCAACUGCUCUUAAAUACAAGUAAAACUAAAUGCAUGCUCUUCAACCGAUCGCUGCCUGCACCUGCCCGCCCGUCCAGCAUCACUACUCUGAACGGUUCUGACUUAGAAUAUGUGGACAACUACAAAUACCUAGGUGUCUGGUUCGACUGUAAACUCUCCUUUCAGACUCACAUCAAACAUCUCCAAUCCAAAGUUAAAUCUAAAAUUGGCUUCCUACAUCGCAACAAAGCAUCUUUCACUCAUGCUGCCAAACAUACCCUUGUAAAACUGACCAUCCUACCGAUCCUUGACUUCGCGAUGUCAUUUACAAAAUAGCCUCCAAUACCUUACUCAACAAAUUGGAUGCAGUCUAUCACAGUGCCAUCCGUUUUGUCACCAGAGCCCCAUAUACUACCCACCACUGCGAACCGUUAGCUCUCGUUGGCUGGCCCUCGCUUCAUACUCGUCGCCAAACCCACUGGCUCCAGGUCAUCUACAAGACCCUGCUAGGUAAAGUUCCCCCUUAUCUCAGCUCGCUGGUCACCAUAGCAGCACCCACCUGUAGCAGACGCUCCAGCAGAUAUAUCUCUAUGGUCACCCCCAAAGCCAAUUCCUCCUUCGGCCGCCUAUGCUUCCAGUUCUCUGCUGCCAAUGACUGGAACGAACUACAAAAAUCUCUAAAACUGUAAACACUUAUCUCCCUCACUAGCUUUAAGCACCAGCUGUCAGAGCAGCUCACAGAUUACUGCACCUGUACAUAGCACAUCUAUAAUUUAGCCCAAACAACUACCUCUUCCCCUACUGUAUUUAUUUAUUUAUUUAUUUUGCUCCUUUGCACCCCAUUAUUUCUAUUUCUCCUUUGCACUUUCUUCCACUGCAAAUCUACUAUUCCAGUGUUCUACUUGCUAUAUUGUAUUUACUUCGACACCAUGGCCUUUUUUGCCUUUACCUCCCUUAUCUCACCACAUUUGCUCACUUUGUAUAUAGACUUAUUUUUCUACCAUAUUAUUGACUGUAUGUUUGUUUUCCUCCAUGUGUAACUCUGUGUUGUUGUAUGUGUCAAACUGCUUUGCUUUAUCUUGGCCAGGUCGCAAUUGUA